AAAUUGAAGAGUUUGAUCAUGGCUCAGAUUGAACGCUGGCGGCAGGCCUAACACAUGCAAGUCGAACGGUAACAGGAAGCAGCUUGCUGCUUCGCUGACGAGUGGCGGACGGGUGAGUAAUGUCUGGGAAACUGCCUGAUGGAGGGGGAUAACUACUGGAAACGGUGGCUAAUACCGCAUAACGUCGCAAGACCAAAGAGGGGGACCUUCGGGCCUCUUGCCAUCAGAUGUGCCCAGAUGGGAUUAGCUGGUUGGUGAGGUAACGGCUCACCAAGGCGACGAUCCCUAGCUGGUCUGAGAGGAUGACCAGCCACACUGGAACUGAGACACGGUCCAGACUCCUACGGGAGGCAGCAGUGGGGAAUAUUGCACAAUGGGCGCAAGCCUGAUGCAGCCAUGCCGCGUGUAUGAAGAAGGCCUUCGGGUUGUAAAGUACUUUCAGCGGGGAGGAAGGUGUUGUGGUUAAUAACUGCAGCAAUUGACGUUACCCGCAGAAGAAGCACCGGCUAACUCCGUGC
rnacentral:rRNA from 2 species